CUCAGGCUCAAGUGUAGUCUAUUGUGACCACUGUGGCAAAGUUCUAUGACACAAUAUGUUUUAUUUUACAUGAAACAGAACUAUCUAUGAUCAAUUUCUAUAAAGCAGUUUGGGGAAGGGAGAUACAUUCAGAGACCUAACUCUGGGUAUUACAAAUAUAUAGGACAUUUAAUUUUAUUUCAACUUCUCACCAACGUGGAUUAUCCUGCAGCAAGCAGCUUGGUGACUAAUCUUUGCACUGGCCUUCUACAUUCUCCCCAGCAUGACUGUCACAGAUAAUCGGAAGCUGAGAUGAUGGAUGGGUGAUCAGCGGACAGGAGAGGGGCCUACAGCCCGAUUUCCCGGGAGACACAUCUGCUGAGCUGGCCCCUGCGGUUGCCAUUCUCACCUCUGCUUUGUCAUGCUUCGGCUGCAUGCCAGCCGCCUGGAAGCCUCUCCAAACAUGCGCUGCGUCUCCUACAUGGUUAGGAAAUGCAUAAGGGCUUAUCAGCCGUGGAGUUUGGCACCAGUGAGCCCCCGAACAUCACAGUCGUGUCAAGGUCCUCGCCUGGUGGCCCGGAGAUCUUUACGGGAGUAUUCAGGCUCUGUGUCCAUCCACCUCUCUACCUCCUUCAGUGCCACAUGUUCCCAGCUCUUCCGCAGAAAAGCGCGUCAGUCUCAGCGUGUCUCCUCUGUCCCGGAGCGUCCGAUUCCUCAGAGCCCCUGUCGCCCUCAUCCUGACGAACAUUUCUUCUCAGCCAUUGCGUGUCCACACAGGAUGAAGUGAACUUGACCAAUUUUAGGAAAAGAGAUACAUACACCCCAGGGCUUCCUAGAGUUGGAGGAGACAUAAAGACAAGUGACAAAUGAGGGGAAAUAACUUUCUUUUCCAAGUAAGCAAAAAGUAUUCUAGGUAUAGGAAGAAUUAAGGCAAAUUGGCAAGGAAGGAAAGAUAACAAAUACCAGGAACACAUGGGCAGAGUGUGCCAGGAAUCUUCAGAAAAGAAAACCAAAAACCCAGCAAACAUGCAGGCAAUGCUGUGAGCCAUGUUAUGGUUAUCAGUCAGUGGAGCAAAAUGAAAGCUGACUCCGCUUCACACCUACCUGUGGAGUCUGAGGAGAUCACCAGCCCUGUGGACAGGAGUGGGGUGCAGAGGGGGUGGCGCGCCCUGCUGCUGGAGCUGCAUGUGAGGGAGCUUCUCCCGGGGUGCCCUGCCAGCACUCAGCAAAGCCCAAGUCUGUAGCCUUUGAAGUCCGAGCACUUCUGGGAUUUCAUUUUAAGAAAACAAUUAGAGGAGCGUGAAAUGCUUCUCGGCCUUUUGGCUAAGAUCAAGUGGGGAAGUGUGAAGACGUUUUACAUGCUGGGAUGUUCUGUGUAGUGUUAUUUGUCACAUUCAAAAGAAAAAAAUGGGAUUAUGAGCUGCCCAACAUUAGCCAUUAAAUCAGUUACAGGGGAUUCAUCGAUCAAGAGACAGUGCCACGCGGACGCAGUGUUUUCCAGGACCUCCUGGCAGAGGAAGGAGGCUGCCGUCACACAAAGCACAGGGGCCCCUUGUGUCACGGGGGAGGCAGUCUGGGGGCAUCGGCGCUGGGGUUCCAACCCUCUCACUGUAUUCGCAUGGGAAAUCGCUUAGCCUUUCGGCACCUUGGCUUCCUCUUCUAUAAACAGGAGUGACCCGUACUUCACAGGAUUGUCCUAAGUUUUAACUAGGACCCCGUGCCUAGGGCUGGGGUGUAGCUCAGCGAAGGGCAUUUAUCAGUGUGCCUGGGUUCUGCUACCAGUACUGGGGUUGGAGAAAGGGCAAGGUGUGGAAAUUCUUGGUCCAAAUCUGACACAUCGCAUUCAGGAGCUAAACAGCGCUGUGUCCGUCACCCAGACGUCACCCGCACUCCUCAGCCUGAAUAUAUUAUGUGCAUGAAGUCUCACCGAUGUCACUGUUUCUGUUCCCGCCUGCUUACCCAGGACCUCCAGUCCAGCCUGUACAGCAUUCUCUCUCCUCAGUAUUUCUGGAGCCCAGAUACACUCCCAGUAGUCAUUUGUUUUCACCACUCCGCUUCUGGCACAUUGCUUCCUUCAGAUUUGGGCCACCGUUUGUCCACUCAGUCGCUCACCCCUGUGCUCAGGAGUUUGUUAGAUGCCUGUGACUGACAGUUCCAUGCCCAGGUGUGCACUCGGGGUCCUCAGCUGUGCUUUUCUGGAGUUUAUGAUCUGCUUCAGGGAGAGAAAUGAACAUUUGCACAUAAACCCGUACCCUGUGUAUUGAAAGGCAGGACUUGGUUAUCUAGCGAUGUUCAGUUUUCUGCUGAUUUAAAUGUGGAGAUCCAAUGGCCAGUGGGAUGUUCCACAGAUGGAGAAGGCGCAUCAGAGGCAAGGCUGUCCUCUUGGCCUGGACAGAUUUGGUCUGUUUGGGUGGCAGGCCUGGCUGCCGAUCUUAGGGAGCUGACAGACAGGAAAGACAGUGGGGGGCUCUCAGUAGUCAAAGGAUGUCUCAGCUCUCAGCAGAAUCGAUGUCCCUCCAACUUGUCACCCUCCAGCCCAAGCCAAGUCAUAACCCAGAACACUUCUGAGUUAUAAAGUCACAUGAAUUAAUAACUCCCUCCUUCCUUAAUCCAGUUCAACUGGGCAGAAUUGUUUCUGACACUUCCAAACAAAGGAAACUCUAACCAUUAGGUUAUUAGGAUAAAAACACAUGCAUAUGUAUUUCUUUGAGGGACAGAUAUUACUUCUAAGGGACAAUAUAGGCUGUUUCUAAAUUAAGAAACUAGAUUUUCCUAAAUAGGGAAUGUUUCUGGCUCAGAGCCUGUGCUGAGGACAAAAGUUUACACACAAGGCAGUGUGCUUAUCCUUGGUUUCUCCGCCAGUUCCUGGUCUGGCUCUGGUGCCUGCAAUGUGGAUGUGGGCCCUCUUCCUGCAGUUUUCAAACAGAACCACUUGUUCCACCAGGGGCACCCAUGGCAUUCAGAGACCAGGCCUGAGGUUUGAAAUAACCAGCCUUCCAGAGGCACUCUGGUUGCAGCUGAAGUCUGGCUUCCAUGCUGCUGUCUUCAAGUGAGGAGUAGUAGAAAAUACUUACUGUGUUAGGGGCCACUCAAGAUACCCACCUCCAGCCUAGAGUGGGGAAGGGCUGGUUUUCUAGCAAACCAGUGCCUGAAUGGUUUCCACACAUUUAAUUCUAUGGAGGGCUGGAGGAGAAACAGGAGGGGAAGGGAAAAACAGAAUGAAGAUGCAUUAUGUCCAUGAGCCAAGCCCCUGUGGUGAGUGUAAUCAUUAUGUACUAUACACAUGUACUCACAAAAGUAAAAAGGUUUUAAAUUUUUCUUAAAAAGAAGGAAGUUAGUUAAAACAAAGAGUCCUAAUUUGACUGGACUUCUGUCCUUAUAAGGAGGCAGUUUGGACCCAGACAGGUAGAAAGAGAAGAGCCUAUAAGGACACGGGAAGAAGGUGGCCAACCUCCCAGCAGAACACAGCCGCCUGCAAGACUUCCACAGGAGCAAGCACUGUCCACACCUUGAUCUCCAGUCUGCAGAACUGUGACAAAGUGAAUUCCCACCUUUCAAGUUACCCAGAAAAAGAGGUCGGUGCUACUUUUUUCUGUAUCCCCCCCAAAUAAACCAAAGUAAAAUGGAACGAAAACCUCCUUCUUCCAAACAACAAAGGCAAAUCUAGAAGUUUAAAAUCUUCAAAUUCUACUACGUCUAUUCCAGGUCACUGGUUUAAAGAACUGGCCAGAGUAUAAGACGUUCACGCCACAGGGCUGGACAUAGUUCCAGCAUGUCAAGGCUCCGGGUUCCCUCCCAGCACUAGAAGAAGAAGAAGAAGCAG
ensembl:lincRNA